rnacentral:lncRNA from 1 species
GGUUAAGCGGAAUGCAGUAAAAGCUGGACCUCGGCAUGAGGUGGGGAGAGGGGGAGAGCUAGUGUGGACCCCAGGCCUUUUCCUCCGAGACACCUUUGGGCAGCGGGGGAGGGGAGAGGGUGUGCGUGUGAGUGUGUGUGUGUGUGUGUGUGCGAGUGUGCGUGAUGGCUUCGCAGAUUUGGGUUUUUAUCACCCAGCAGAGCCAGCAGCCUCUUCGCCGCGGCGCCCUAGCUGCAGGGACCCGCGGGGACGAGAACGGGAGGCGGCGAGCAGUGCGGCUGGGUUCCCCCGGCUGCCCCGGGCCAAGCGUGGCCGGGACGACCAUGGACCCGCACAGCGGCCGCUGGCUCGGUGCGCGGCCGCCCGCCGAGAAGCCCAGUCCUCCCGCGUGCUGACCGGCCCCGCCGCCACCACCGCCUGUGACCCCGGACGCCGC